UGCUGUUACGUGACACUUCCUACGGCUCACAUGGUCUCUCAGAAGGCGGCAAAAAGCUGAAUCGUGGCUUUGCAGGCUCUGGCUGAAAAAAAGUAGCCCGUUUGGGUAGUGGCUGGUUACAGUACUGUGAGACUCAGGCGCGUGCCCGCGUCGACCGAAUGCUUUGUUUUCUUUCCUCUGUUUACCUAAACGGAGAUCCCCGGUUGGAAUAUUAUCGCUUUUUUACGAGAAAAAUGGCAUAAAAAUGGAUUUUAAACAGCGGUUGACAUGCUUCGAAGUACGGUAAUGGAAUAUUUAGAAACUUUUUGUCACGAAUUGCGCCAUGCUCGUAACCCUGAUUUACCAUUUCGGAUAGUGUCUGGAACGCACGAACAAAACGCCGCUAUUUGGAUAUAACGAUGGAUUAUUUUGGACCAAACCAACAUUUGUUAUUGAAGUAGCAGUCCUGGGAGUGCAUUCUGACGAAGACAACAAAGAGGUUAUCUGGAUGGACGACCGCGACAGGUACAGACAUGCAGAGGUUAUCUGGAUGGACUACCACGACAGGUACAGACAUGCAGAGAUUAUCUGGAUGGACUACCACGACAGGCACAGAUAUGCAGAGGUUAUCUGGAUGGACGAACACGACAGGUACAGACAUGAGGUUAUCCUUAAGGCCAUAGGGCAGUCAUGUCAUUUUGUCCACCAGUCUCACGGUAAUUGACCAUUAAGUAACAUAAACAUAUGUUGCAUCUCCUGGCUUCCACACAGCCUACAAGCCACAGAUGCAGACCUUUGGAACAUCUACAUUUUAUCAAGUCAAAUGAAUCCAUGUAAUAUAGCCUACACCUUCACAAUAAAUCCAUUAUUUAUUUUAGAUAGGUCUAAAGAAACAUGAUACGAAGAAGAACAUAAUAGCAUGUCCUGAGUCUUCCUCAUGUUAGGCCCUGAUCUGGCUAUGCCAUAUGUCUAUGGGCUACACUAGUUCAUUUAGCACAUAAGAUUUGCUUAGAAUUCCCGUGGCAUUAUUUUAUAGUAAGAAUAAUACAAUUGAACAUACCUUAGCUGAAUAAAAUAGAAAGGAUAUUUUCACAGGGAGUGCUGUGUUGAGCGGUUAACAAAGUGAUCAUUUUAAACAGGUCCUCCUAUAUGCUCAAUUUAGAGUUAUUUAUGCAACAUUAGUUGUUAUACAAACCUUAUAACGUUUUAGAAAUCAAAACAUAUAGCCCCAGGCUGCAUGAUGCGACUUUAACGAUGAUUUGAAAAAAGUUGCAUGAAAGGAAUGCAUUCUGCCGUUUCUCCCACAGGCUGCACACCCAGUCUCUCACAAUUUGACAAGCACUUGAUCAUAUUCUCACCCAUCAGUCUAUUCUCAGUUUAAUCUGGUCUUUAGAGAUAGGCUACAGUAUUAAUAUAACUGCAGACGCUAGCCGUCAUUCACAAGUGAUAAUAUUGUCACUCAUCAGACUAUUCUCAGUUGAAUCUAGUCUUUACAUAUAGGCUAUAGUAUUAAUAUUUGAGGGAUUAUUUAUUUAUUUA
rnacentral:lncRNA from 1 species